GUAGGUGAACCUGCGGAAGGAUCAUUAUCACGUUAUCCACGUAUCAACCAUUGUGAACCGUUUUACCUUUUGUCGAGAGUGAGGUAGUGGGAGAUAGAACUGCUCGUUUAAUGAUUUAGAGAGCACUUAAGGUUUUAUUUCUCCAUGGAACCGAUUUUUCGGUACAUACUCGUUCACUUCAAAUUGUAUUUUCAAAAAUCAUUGAAUAACAAUUCUAACUAUUUUGAACUUUGACUUAUCUUUUUCAUAC
rnacentral:misc_RNA from 1 species